CCACAGCUCUCCAUAGAAAUCUCAAGGACACAACUUUUCCCCCCAUCUUGUGGAAGGAUGACAUUUUCUGAUAUUUGCUUCAAACUCUGAGUGAGACCCUAUGCAGGUCCCACAGGUUAUUUUAAUCUAUCUUCCUCACUGACACAAGUUCUAUUGGGGCUGAGACCAGAGAAGACAAUGUGAGACCCUGCAUCCAACAGUAUUCCUUUUAGAAACUAUGCCCAGACUGAGUGGGUGCAUUUUUGUUCUAAUACUUUUUCUCUUCUGUAGUUUACACAGUAGGAGAUAAUCUUUGAUAUGGCAACUAUGUCAUUCCCCUCAGUGUGCCCAACAACUCACAUCUCAUAGCUGCAAUAGGUCAGAGACAAAUUCCAUUAUGGAGUAAGGAGACAGUCUUCUAAAGGUGCAUUGCAUGUAGUGAGGUAUAGACAUAGCAAGCAAUGAAUGUUACAUCCCAGGAGCAGAGUCUGAGAGAAGACGGGUAGUCGUAAAUCCUGAAAUUACAACAAUUCCAUGUAAUUCAUCAGCUUCUGAGUAUCUCUCAAGUGACAUUUAUUAGUAGAAAGCUUUGUAGAACAGAGCGGUAUGCUGGCUAGCCAAGUUGAUUGCACUUCGAGGGUGAGUGGAUUCCUGAAUCCCCUAUUUAGAUAUAGGGCUAGAACAAGAUUGAGGAGCCAGUGUGAAUAUUUUCAUCUGGCAUUUCUUUUCUCUACUGAGUGAAUUCCUUUCUCCAACUCCCAGAACAUUGUUCAAUGAGGUAAUAAAAACUACAAUUC
rnacentral:lncRNA from 1 species